rnacentral:lncRNA from 1 species
AAAUGACCAUUUAAUGAGGUGUGUGAAUUUUUCUUAAUAAGACUAUGAGGCAAAGUGGUAUAUAGGGUAGAAAAAUCAAAAGCACCAAUUAUAAGCAUGCAAUUUAUCAAGUAAUUCGAACGAAUUUUGACACUCUAAAAGCAAUUUAUUCCACUAUUUUCAAAGGCCUUAUUUGAACAAUUUUUUAUCAGCUGAGGUUUUUGAUUGAACCAAGUGUAUUAGUAAGUAGAAUACAUAGUUUGGAAACAAUGGCUUGAAACGAAAUAUAUCUUUGUUUGUAAUGAGUUAUGUGCAGCUUCGGACCCAAGUACAUGGUUGGAACUUUCAUUGUACAAUUCAUUUGGUUCUGCUUUGAAAAGAAUCUUAGAGCUGAGUCUAUGUACCAUAUUAUAUAAAAGGUUUAGUGGUUGUUAGGACCUAGUCCUUAAUUGAGAUCCUUGUCAGAUAUUCCUGGCCAUAUGUUUUCCUUUUUGUCAUAUUAAGAAUUGUUUUAAUUUAAUAUGUUCGUACGGAAAACAAGGAACAUUAUUCUCAUACAAAAUAUUAAGAUAAUUCUAAAUACACAUUCAUAAAAAAUGGAAUUUAUUACAAAGGAUAAUCAUAAGAUAUACUUGAAUUGUCCUGGACCUCACUUCUGUGAUGGGUAUAUGUUAAUGGAAUCCUUCUCUGAAUACGG